rnacentral:rRNA from 1 species
UGAAAAGCCCCCGGCUUAACCGGGGAGGGUCAUUUGGAAACUGGGGAAACUUUGAGUGCAGAAGAGGAGAGUGGAAUUCCACGUGUAGCGGUGAAAUGCGUAGAGAUGUGGAGGAACACCAGUGGCGAAGGCGACUCUCUGGUCUGUAACUGACGCUGAGGAGCGAAAGCGUGGGGAGCGAACAGGAUUAGAUACCCUGGUAGUCCACGCCGUAAACGAUGAGUGCUAAGUGUUAGGGGGUUUCCGCCCCUUAGUGCUGCAGCUAACGCAUUAAGCACUCCGCCUGGGGAGUACGGUCGCAAGACUGAAACUCAAAGGAAUUGACGGGGGCCCGCACAAGCGGUGGAGCAUGUGGUUUAAUUCGAAGCAACGCGAAGAACCUUACCAGGUCUUGACAUCCUCUGACAAUCCUAGAGAUAGGACGUCCCCUUCGGGGGCAGAGUGACAGGUGGUGCAUGGUUGUCGUCAGCUCGUGUCGUGAGAUGUUGGGUUAAGUCCCGCAACGAGCGCAACCCUUGAUCUUAGUUGCCAGCAUUCAGUUGGGCACUCUAAGGUGACUGCCGGUGACAAACCGGAGGAAGGUGGGGAUGACGUCAAAUCAUCAUGCCCCUUAUGACCUGGGCUACACACGUGCUACAAUGGACAGAACAAAGGGCAGCGAAACCGCGAGGUUAAGCCAAUCCCACAAAUCUGUUCUCAGUUCGGAUCGCAGUCUGCAACUCGACUGCGUGAAGCUGGAAUCGCUAGUAAUCGCGGAUC